UACGUACCGUCCAAACGUUAUUCGGAAUUACUGGGCUUAAAGGGUACGUAGGCGGCGCUGUCAGUCGGGUGUGAAAUCCCUCGGCCCAACCGAGGAACUGCGCCCGAUACUGCAGUGCUUGAGGGAGACAGAGGUAAGCGGAACUGAUGGUGGAGCGGUGAAAUGCGUUGAUAUCAUCAGGAACACCAGUGGCGAAAGCGGCUUACUGGGUCUCUUCUGACGCUGAGGUACGAAAGCUAGGGGAGCGAAGGGG
rnacentral:rRNA from 1 species